AUACGGAGGGUGCAAGCGUUACUCGGAAUCACUGGGCGUAAAGGACGCGUAGGCGGAUUGGAAAGUCAGAUGUGAAAUCCUACAGCUUAACUGUAGAACUGCAUUUGAAACUUCUAAUCUAGAGUAUGGGAGGGGGAGAUGGAAUUAGUGGUGUAGGGGUAAAAUCCGUAGAUAUCACUAGGAAUACCGAAAGCGAAGGCGAUCUCCUGGAACAUAACUGACGCUAAGGCGUGAAAGCGUGGGGAGCAAACGGGAUUAGAAACCCUAGUAGUCC
rnacentral:rRNA from 1 species